rnacentral:rRNA from 1 species
AACGAACGCUGGCGGCGUGCCUAACACAUGCAAGUCGAACGAGAACGGUUCCUUUGGGAAUCUAGUAAAGUGGCGCACGGGUGAGUAACACGUAGGUGACCUACCUCUUGUUGGGGAACAACUCCGGGAAACCGAAGCUAAUUCCGCGUAAGCUUGCCGAACUGCGGUUCGGCAAGGAAAGGUGGCCUCUUCAUGAAAGCUACCGACGAGAGAUGGGCCUGCGUACCAUUAUGCUUGUUGGCGGGGUAAUGGCCCACCAAGGCUACGAUGGUUAGCUGAUCUGAGAGGAUGAUCAGCAACACUGGAACUGAGACACGGACCAGACUCCUACGGGAGGCAGCAGUGGGGAAUAUUGCGCAAUGGGCGAAAGCUUGACGCAGCAACGCCGCGUGAGUGAUGAAGGCCUUCGGGUCGUAAAGCUCUGUCAGAAGGAACGAAUACCCGCUGGGAGCAAUACCCCAGCGGUUUGACGGUACCUUCAGAGGAAGCACCGGCUAACUCCGUGCCAGCCGCCGCCGUAA